rnacentral:tRNA from 1 species
GCCUUCGUGGUGCAGUGGUCAGCACGCUCGGCGCGUAUUCGGAAUUUCCGUGGUUUGAAUCCUGGCGAAGGCA